AGGAGCAGCAGCAGCAGCGGCAGCAGCGGCGGCGGCGACCGCAGCGCAGCGCGCAGGGGCCCGGGCGCCGCUUCCGGGCAAUGGUGGAGCAGAGACACCAGCUGAGGUUAUUGCAGUGACAAUAGAGUGUGGCACCUCGGUGGCUCCAUCAGCAAAGACAAACAUGGAUACUGUGGAUUUGGUGUUCCUAGAGCCUGAAGGAACCUGCUCACAACAUCUUUAUGGGCACUGCUGAAGUGAAACUAGUCCUGUGCUGCUGCUCUGAUAAAACAGCAACAAAUCCAGAGCAAAAGUUAAUUCAAUUAAUCUACCUGAAUUUGCCAAACUCUGAAAGAGUUGAGGUUUGGGGAAGAGUUUUGGAGGGGGUGGUUUGUCUUGUGUUCAGACACUGCUUAGGUCCAAAGGAGGCCAAGAGAUCAGGAGUUGUCACUGGUAAAUGGUAUUUUAGUCCUGUUUGGAUACAGAAAUACCUCUGUCAGGUGGAGAAGGUUUGCCAGGAGGAGAGGAUUGCUACCCUGUGGUCCCCUCUCUUAUUUAGAACACCACCCAAAACCUCCACAGCCAGCUGCCAGUGCUCCUUUCAUCUGAAUAUUCCCCUUUUGGGGACUCUGCACCUUCUAACUACCUGCUCAGGUGCUGAGCAUCACCAGAGUGAAUCCCCAUCCCUGGAGGUGUUUAGAAGAACACUCAGCAACAGAACAAGAGCAAAAUGGCCUCAAGUUGCAGCAGGGGAGGCUUAGAUUGGACAUGAGAAGAGACUAGUUGAAUCCACAUCCCUUGAGUGGCUUAAAAGCCCCAGAGAUGUGGUGCUGAGUGCCAUGCUUUAACCCCAGCCUGGGCAGAGGCAGAGAAUGGCUGAAGGUCUGGAAGGGCUUUUCCAACCAAAGCAAUCCUACAUUCCACCUCGAUUAAAAGAGGCAAUGUUCUAUCAUUAACAUUAUUGGAUUUUAAUCUCAAUUAAAUGCUACAUUUCAAUUAAAGUCCAAUAGUUUAAAAACCAGAGAGGCCAAACAGCCACACUUGUGCCAGUCCCUUCCUUGCCACUCACCAGCCCAUGCCCAGUGCAGCAGCACCCGCAGGGUGUUGCCUCACCACUGCUCGCUGGGGCCCUGAUUAAAGCCUCACUCCACGGUCAGAUGGGGGCAGGAAAGCUGGCGUUCAGCUGGCUGCCUCCACCGAGGCUGGCACAGCUUGGGGUGUGUCACCAAGGUGACAGUGCUCAGAGCAGGCCAUCAGCUGCGUUCUGCUGAUGACACUCCCAGCUCAGCGCCUGGGUGGCUCCCUCGGGGAGGGGGAAGCUGUCCCCAGCAGCUGUCCCAGCUGGGCUGGUGGCACACAGCAUCACAUGUCUCUCUUGUUUGUGUCAGCCCUUUCCAUCUUGAUCAAGAUGAACUACAAAGAUCCAACCUGCCAGUGGCCUUCAGUACCCCUGUGGGCAUGGCAGCGAUUUGGGAACGUGGCACAAGCUCAGCAACCUGCAGAAAUGCUCAUUCUGAUAACCCCAACGGAUGUCACAGGAUCAGAGGAUGUCAGGGGUUGGAAGGGACCCAAAGAGAUCAUCCAGUCCAACCCUCCUGCCAGAGCAGGACCAGACAAUCUUGCUCAGGUCACACAGAAACACAUCCAGACAGGCCUGGAAAAGCUCCAGGGUAGAAGACUCCACAACCUCCCUGGGCAGCCUGUGCCAGUGCUCUGUGACCCUUCCAGUCAGGAAGUUCCCCCUUGUGUUGAGGUGGAACCUCCUGUGCUGCUGUCACAGAGUCUGGAUUCUGCUGCAGUCCCCCCACCCCCAAU